rnacentral:rRNA from 1 species
UUGCCUAGGGAGGCAGCAGUGGGGAAUAUUGCACAAUGGGGGAAACCCUGAUGCAGCGACGCCGCGUGAGUGAAGAAGUAUUUCGGUACGUAAAGCUAUAUCAGCAGGGAAGAAAAAAAGUCCUUUGGACUUUGGACGGUACCUGACUAAGAAGCCCCGGCUAACUACGUGCCAGCAGCCGCGGUAAUACGUAGGGGGCAAGCGUUAUCCGGAUUUACUGGGUGUAAAGGGAGCGUAGACGGCAGCGCAAGUCUGGAGUGAAAUGCCGGGGCCCAACCCCGGCACUGCUUUGGAAACUG